CCAAUAGCGUAUAUUAAAGUUGUUGCAGUUAAAAAGCUCGUAGUUGAAUUUCGGGGUUAGUAGGUUGGUCGUGCCUUUGGUAUGUACUGGUCUCACUGAUUCCUCCUUCUUGAAGAACUGUAAUGUCAUUAAUUUGGUGUUGCAGGGAAACAGGACUGUUACUUUGAAAAAAUUAGAGUGUUUAAAGCAGGCUAACGCCUGAAUACAUUAGCAUGGAAUAAUGAAAUAGGACGUUUGAUCCUAUUUUGUUGGUUUCUAGGAUUGACGUAAUGAUUAAUAGGGAUAGUUGGGGGCAUUAGUAUUCAAUUGUCAGAGGUGAAAUUCUUGGAUUUAUUGAAGACUAACUACUGCGAAAGCAUUUGCCAAGGAUGUUUUCAUUAAUCAAGAACGAAAGUUAGGGGAUCGAAGACGAUCAGAUACCGUCGUAGUCUUAACCAUAAACUAUGCCGACUAGGGAUCGGAUGAUGUUAAUUUUUUAAUGACUCAUUCGGCGCCUUACG
rnacentral:rRNA from 1 species